UACGUAGGGUGCAAGCGUUGUCCGGAAUUAUUGGGCGUAAAGAGCUCGUAGGCGGCUAGUCACGUCGGAUGUGAAAACCCGAGGCUCAACCUCGGGCCUGCAUUCGAUACGGGCUGGCUAGAGUACUGCAGGGGAGACUGGAAUUCCUGGUGUAGCGGUGAAAUGCGCAGAUAUCGGGAGGAACACCAAUGGCGAAGGCAGCUCGCUGGGACGGUACUGACGCUGAGACGCGAAAGCGUGGGGAGCAAACAGG
rnacentral:rRNA from 1 species